UGGGGAAUAUUGCACAAUGGGCGCAAGCCUGAUGCAGCAACGCCGCGUGAGGGACGACGGCCUUCGGGUUGUAAACCUCUUUUGGCAGGGAAGAAGCGAAAGUGACGGUACCUGCAGAAAAAGCACCGGCUAACUACGUGCCAGCAGCCGCGGUGAUACGUAGGGUGCAAGAGUUGUCCGGAAUUAUUGGGCGUAAAGAGCUCGUAGGCGGUUUGUCGCGUCUGCUGUGAAAACCCGAGGCUCAACCUCGGGCCUGCAGCGGGUACGGGCAAACUAGAGUGCGGUAGGGGAGAUUGGAAUUCCUGGUGUAGCGGUGGAAUGCGCAGAUAUCAGGAGGAACACCGAUGGCGAAGGCAGAUCUCUGGGCCGUAACUGACGCUGAGGAGCGAAAGCAUGGGGAGCGAAC
rnacentral:rRNA from 1 species